rnacentral:rRNA from 1 species
UACGUAGGGGGCAAGCGUUGUUCGGAAUUACUGGGCGUAAAGGGCGCGUAGGCGGCCCAGCAAGUCGGGAGUGAAAGCCCGGGGCUCAACCCCGGAAUGGCUUUCGAAACUGCUGAGCUAGAGUACAGAAGGGGCAACCGGAAUUCCCAGUGUAGCGGUGAAAUGCGUAGAUAUUGGGAAGAACACCUGAGGCGAAGGCGGGUUGCUGGGCUGAUACUGACGCUGAGGCGCGAAAGCCAGGGGAGCAAACGGG